rnacentral:rRNA from 1 species
GACGAACGCUGGCGGCGUGCUUAACACAUGCAGGUCAAACAAAAGCGGCGGGAGGUUGCUUCUUUUAAUUUUAGUGGGGGACGGGGGGGUUACGCGGUAUCAACCCGCCCUUUAGGGGGGGGCAAAAGUUGGGAAAGGCCGCCUAUUACGCAAUACGUCUAAACCUGGGCAUGAGGGAAAAUGAAAGGGUGGCUCCACAUGUAAGCCAACAAUGAAGGGGGGGGAUGCGGCUGGUUAGCUAGUUGGAGGGGUAACGGCCCACCAAGGGGAUGAUCAGUAGCCGGUCUGAGAGGAUGAACGGCCACAUUGGGACUGAGACACGGCCCAGACUCCUACGGGAGGCAGCAGUGGGGAAUCUUCCGCAAUGGACGAAAGUCUGACGGAGCAACGCCGCGUGAGUGAUGACGGCCUUCGGGUUGUAAAGCUCUGUUAAUCGGGACGAAAGGCCUUCUUGCGAAUAGUGAGAAGGAUUGACGGUACCGGAAGAGAAAGCCACGGCUAACUACGUG